rnacentral:rRNA from 1 species
ACGCUCGACACCUACGGGAGGCAGCAGUGAGGAAUAUUGGCAAUGGGCGCUAGCCUGAACCAGCCAAGUAGCGUGAAGGAUGAAGGCUCUAUGGGUCGUAAACUUCUUUUAUAUAAGAAUAAAGUGCAGUAUGUAUACUGUUUUGUAUGUAUUAUAUGAAUAAGGAUCGGCUAACUCCGUGCCACAGCCGCGGUAAUCUGAGCGGCUGGCAAGGC